rnacentral:rRNA from 1 species
AGUUCGGACUGGGGUCUGCAACCCGACUCCACGAAGUUGGAUUCGCUAGUAAUCGCGCAUCAGCCAUGGCGCGGUGAAUACGUUCCCGGGCCUUGUACACACCGCCCGUCAAGCCAUGGGAGCCGGGGGCGCCUGAAGUCCGGGACCGCGAGGACCGGCCUAGGGCGAAACUGGUAACUGGGGCUAAGUCGUAACAAGGUAUC